rnacentral:rRNA from 1 species
AUUGAACGCUGGCGGAAUGCUUUACACAUGCAAGUCGAACGGUAGAGGGGGCAACCCCUUGAGAGUGGCGAACGGGUGAGUAAUAUAUCGGAACGUGCCCAGUCGUGGGGAUAACGUAGCGAAAGUUACGCUAAUACCGCAUACGAUCUAAGGAUGAAAGCGGGGGAUCGCAAGACCUCGCGCGAUUGGAGCGGCCGAUAUCAGAUUAGGUAGUUGGUGAGGUAAAGGCUCACCAAGCCAACGAUCUGUAGCUGGUCUGAGAGGACGACCAGCCACACUGGAACUGAGACACGGUCCAGACUCCUACGGGAGGCAGCAGUGGGGAAUUUUGGACAAUGGACGCGAAAUCUGAUCCAGCCAUUCCGCGUGCAGGAUGAAGGCCCUCGGGUUGUAAACUGCUUUUGUACGGUAACGAAAAGGUUUGGUCUUAAUACGAUGAGCUCAUGACGGUACCGUAAG